AAUAUCAGUCAUGCAUAGCAUAUCAAUAAGCGGAGGAAAAGAAACUAACAAGGAUUCCCUUAGUAACGGCGAGUGAAGCGGGAAGAGCUCAAAUUUGAAAUCUUCAAGGUUUUACCUUGACGAAUUGUAGUUUAAAGAAGUGUUUUCUGUUGAAGUUUUGGUAAAAGUUCUUUGGAAUAGGACAUCAUAGAGGGUGAGAAUCCCGUAUUUGACCAUUACUUUCAGCUUUGUGAUACACUUUCAAAGAGUCGGAUUGUUUGGGAAUGCAGUCCAAAAUGGGUGGUAAAUUUCAUCUAAAGCUAAAUAUUGGCGAGAGACCGAUAGCGAACAAGUACCGUGAGGGAAAGAUGAAAAGAACUUUGAAAAGAGAGUUAAACAGUACGUGAAAUUGUCAAAAGGGAAGCGUUUGACACCAGUGUUGUUUUCUCGAAAAUCAAUUAAAAAGAGUUGGACUUUGUGUUGUAUUGACUUUAUCAGGCUUUCUUCACUCUUUUCCAGCUUUUUUUAAUGCACUUUUCGUUUAACAAGUCAACAUCAGUUUCUUUUGUUGUAAAAAGGUCAUUGGAAGGUGGCUUUCUCUUCGGAGAAAGUGUUUAUAGCCUUUGACUCAUGCAAUCGGAGAGACUGAGGUCUGCAGCGUAGAUCCUUCGGGGUUAGAUACAUUUGUGCUAAGUUAUAGCUUUUCAUAGACAACUUGUUGACUAUGUUUAGUCUUGUAGCUUACUCGCUUAUGCUAUUUUACCUACGCUUAGGAUGUUGAACUCUAUCACACACAG
rnacentral:rRNA from 1 species